rnacentral:rRNA from 1 species
GUGGGGAAUUUUGGACAAUGGGGGCAACCCUGAUCCAGCCAUGCCGCGUGCGGGAAGAAGGCCUUCGGGUUGUAAACCGCUUUUGGUCGGGAAGAAAAGGCAUCGCCUAAUAGGGGGUGUUCUUGACGGUACCGGCAGAAUAAGCACCGGCUAACUACGUGCCAGCAGCCGCGGUAAUACGUAGGGUGCGAGCGUUAAUCGGAAUUACUGGGCGUAAAGCGUGCGCAGGCGGUUCGUUAAGUUCGUUGUGAAAGCCCCGGGCUCAACCUGGGAACGGCAAUGGAAACUGGCGGGCUGGAGUGUGGCAGAGGGGGGUGGAAUUCCACGUGUAGCAGUGAAAUGCGUAGAGAUGUGGAGGAACACCGAUGGCGAAGGCAGCCCCCUGGGCCAACACUGACGCUCAGGCACGAAAGCGUGGGGAGCAAACAGGAUUAGAAACCCUUGUAGUCC